CCUACGGGAGGCAGCAGUAAGGAAUAUUGGUCAAUGGACGAAAGUCUGAACCGGCCAUGCCGCGUGAAGGAUUAAGGCCCUCUGGGUUGUAAACUUCUUUUAUCUGGGACGAAAAAAGGGUAUUCUUACUCACUUGACGGUACCAGAGGAAUAAGCACCGGCUAACUCCGUGCCAGCAGCCGCGGUAAUACGGAGGGUGCAAGCGUUAUCCGGAUUUACUGGGUUUAAAGGGUGCGUAGGUGGGCUUGUAAGUCAGUGGUGAAAUCUCCGGGCUUAACCCGGGAAACUGCCAUUGAUACUAUAGGUCUUGAAUUAUCUGGAGGUAAGCGGAAUAUGUCAUGUAGCGGUGAAAUGCUUAGAUAUGACAUAGAACACCAAUUGCGAAGGCAGCUUACUACGGAUAUAUUGACACUGAGGCACGAAAGCUGGGGAUCAAACAGGAUUAGAUACCCUGGUAGUCCACGCCCUAAACGAUGGAUACUCGACAUCAGCGAUACACUGUUGGUGUCUGNGAGAAGANAUAGUAUCCACCACGGAGUACGAGACGCAGAGUAGAACGUACAAUAGAAGUAGUACGGACGUGAGACGUAGACCGACGGACGACGACGAGGGAGGAGG
rnacentral:rRNA from 1 species